rnacentral:rRNA from 1 species
GAGUAAUGUCUGGGAAACUGCCUGAUGGAGGGGGAUAACUACUGGAAACGGUAGCUAAUACGCAUAACGUCGCAAGACCAAAGUGGGGGACCUUCGGGCCUCAUGCCAUCAGAUGUGCCCAGAUGGGAUUAGCUAGUAGGUGGGGUAACGGCUCACCUAGGCGACGAUCCCUAGCUGGUCUGAGAGGAUGACCAGCCACACUGGAACUGAGACACGGUCCAGACUCCUACGGAGGCAGCAGUGGGGAAUAUUGCACAAUGGGCGCAAGCCUGAUGCAGCCAUGCCGCGUGUGUGAAGAAGGCCUUCGGGUUGUAAAGCACUUUCAGCGGGGAGGAAGGCGGUAAGGUUAAUAACCCUGGCGAUUGACGUUACCCGCAGAAGAAGCACCGGCUAACUCCGUGCCAGCAGCCGCGGUAAUACGGAGAAGCGUUAAUCGGAAUUACUGGGCGUAAAGCGCACGCAGGCGGUCUGUCAAGUCGGAUGUGAAAUCCCCGGGCUCAACCUGGGAACUGCAUUCGAAACUGGCAGGCUAGAGUCUUGUAGAGGGGGGUAGAAUUCCAGGUGUAGCGGUGAAAUGCGUAGAGAUCUGGAGGAAUACCGGUGGCGAAGGCGGCCCCCUGGACAAAGACUGACGCUCAGGUGCGAAAGCGUGGGGAGCAAACAGGAUUAGAUACCCUGGUAGUCCACGCCGUAAACGAUGUCGAUUUGGAGGUUGUGCCCUUGAGGCGUGGCUUCCGGAGCUAACGCGUUAAAUCGACCGCCUGGGGAGUACGGCCGCAAGGUUAAAACUCAAAUGAAUUGACGGGGGCCCGCACAAGCGGUGGAGCAUGUGGUUUAAUUCGAUGCAACGCGAAGAACCUUACCUGGUCUUGACAUCCACAGAACUUUCCAGAGAUGGAUUGGUGCCUUCGGGAACUGUGAGACAGGUGCUGCAUGGCUGUCGUCAGCUCGUGUUGUGAAAUGUUGGGUUAAGUCCCAACAACGAGCGCAACCCUUAUCCUUUGUUGCCAGCGGUUCGGCCGGGAACUCAAAGGAGACUGCCAGUGAUAAACUGGAGGAAGGUGGGGAUGACGUCAAGUCAUCAUGGCCCUUACGACCAGGGCUACACACGUGCUACAAUGGCAUAUACAAAGAGAAGCGACCUCGCGAGAGCAAGCGGACCUCAUAAAGUAUGUCGUAGUCCGGAUUGGAGUCUGCAACUCGACUCCAUGAAGUCGGAAUCGCUAGUAAUCGUAGAUCAGAAUGCUACGGUGAAUACGUUCCCGGGCCUUGUACACACCGCCCGUCACACCAUGGGAGUGGGUUGCAAGAAGAAGUAGGUAGCUUAACCAAAGAGGGCGCUUACCACUUUGUGAUUCAUGACUGGGGUGAAGUCGUAAAAGGUAGCCGUAGGGGAACCGUAGGGGAACCUGCGGUUGGAUCACCUCCUUACCUUAAAGAA